rnacentral:rRNA from 1 species
AGGGUUCGAUUCUGGCUCAGGAUGAACGCUGGCGGCGUGCUUAACACAUGCAAGUCGAACGGGAUCCCAGGAGCUUGCUCCUGGGUGAGAGUGGCGAACGGGUGAGUAAUGCGUGACCGACCUGCCCCAUACACCGGAAUAGCUCCUGGAAACGGGUGGUAAUGCCGGAUGCUCCAGUUGACCGCAUGGUCCUCUGGGAAAGAUUCAUCGGUAUGGGAUGGGGUCGCGUCCUAUCAGCUUGAUGGCGGGGUAACGGCCCACCAUGGCUUCGACGGGUAGCCGGCCUGAGAGGGCGACCGGCCACAUUGGGACUGAGAUACGGCCCAGACUCCUACGGGAGGCAGCAGUGGGGAAUAUUGCACAAUGGGCGCAAGCCUGAUGCAGCGACGCCGCGUGCGGGAUGACGGCCUUCGGGUUGUAAACCGCUUUUGACUGGGAGCAAGCCCUUCGGGGUGAGUGUACCUUUCGAAUAAGCACCGGCUAACUACGUGCCAGCAGCCGCGGUAAUACGUAGGGUGCAAGCGUUAUCCGGAAUUAUUGGGCGUAAAGGGCUCGUAGGCGGUUCGUCGCGUCCGGUGUGAAAGUCCAUCGCUUAACGGUGGAUCCGCGCCGGGUACGGGCGGGCUUGAGUGCGGUAGGGGAGACUGGAAUUCCCGGUGUAACGGUGGAAUGUGUAGAUAUCGGGAAGAACACCAAUGGCGAAGGCAGGUCUCUGGGCCGUCACUGACGCUGAGGAGCGAAAGCGUGGGGAGCGAACAGGAUUAGAUACCCUGGUAGUCCACGCCGUAAACG